UACGUAGGGCGCAAGCGUUGUCCGGAAUUAUUGGGCGUAAAGAGCUCGUGAGCGGUCUGUCGCGUCCGUUGUGAAAACUCGAGGCUCAACCUCGGGCUUGCAGUGGAUACGGGCAGACUAGAGUGCGGUAGGGGAGACUGGAAUUCCUGGUGUAGCGGUGCAAUGCGCAGAUAUCAGGAGGAACACCGAUGGCGAAGGCAGGUCUCUGGGCCGCAACUGACGCUGAGACACGAAAGCGUGGGUAGCAAACAGG
rnacentral:rRNA from 1 species